AAAACUUCGGCAAGAACGUGGAGCUUGUGUGUGAGACUUGUGUGCUAACUUAGACCACAAGCCCCCUCACGAGCCCUGUUUUUACGAACCCUGUGUGAACCGUAAUAUUUAUUCCAUCCACGUAAUACGAAAUUUCUAGUCUAAAGUCUUCUUCAUAUCACGAGAAUAUGAUAAAAA
rnacentral:misc_RNA from 1 species